CACCUACGGGACGCAGCAGUGAGGAAUAUUGGUCAAUGGGCGGGAGCCUGAACCAGCCAAGUCGCGUGAGGGAAGACGGUCCUAUGGAUUGUAAACCUCUUUAGGCGGGGAGCAAUGCCGGGCACGCGUGCCCGGAGGGAGAGUACCCGCAGAAUAAGCAUCGGCUAACUCCGUGCCAGCAGCCGCGGUAAUACGGAGGAUGCGAGCGUUAUCCGGAUUUAUUGGGUUUAAAGGGUGCGUAGGCGGGAUGCCAAGUCAGCGGUAAAAAUGCGGUGCUCAACGCCUGCGAGCCGUUGAAACUGGCG
rnacentral:rRNA from 1 species